rnacentral:snRNA from 1 species
GUGCUUGCUUCGGCAGCACAUAUACUAAAAUCAGAAUGAUACAGAGAAGACUAGCAUGGCCCCUGCACAAGGAUGACACAAAACAAUAAAAAAAUUAAUUAAUUAAU